rnacentral:tRNA from 1 species
GCUGGCGUAGCUCAAAGGUAGAGCAUCGGUUUUGUAAACCGAGGGUUGUUGGUUCGAUUCCAAUCGCCAGCU